AUGGAGCUUAACGUAGUGCAAGCCAUGGCAGCUGUCCUCAUGGUGCUAGUAACCACGAGAGCGCUAUGGUAUCUGCUUUGGAGGCCGUAUGCCGUGGCCAGGUGGUUCCGACGGCAGGGCAUCAGAGGUCCGCCUUACAAUCUCCUGGUUGGGUCCCUGCCGGAGUGCCAGAAGAUGAUUGUCGCCGGGAGAGCCAAGGAUCUGGACACCAUCUCCCACGACUGCAUCACUACCGUGCAACCCUUCUUCCAGAAAUGGGCCUCCAUGUAUGGGAAAACAUUCCUAUACUGGCUGGGGCCGACACCAGCACUGUGCUCUACGGACAUGGAGCUGGUGAAGAAAGUGUUAACCGACAGGACGGACAUGUUCCAAAAAGACUACUCAAAUCCUAGCCUGGAAGCGGUUCUGGGGAAUGGGGUUGUAUUUGCAAACGGACACGACUGGAAGCGGCGGCGCAAAUUCAUCCACCCGGCUUUCAACCAAGAGAAGAUCAAGUCCAUGUCAGCAAUAACGUUGGAGUGCACACAGCAGACAAUGGAACGGUGGCGCAACAGGCAGCAAGCCGAGAUAGACAUGAUGCACGACUCCGACGAGAUAGCCAUGAGUGUCAUUGCGAGAGUGAUGUUGGGCAAGUGCUACAAGGAGGCCUGGGAGGUGUUCAUCGCCGGAAAGGAGCAGCUGAAGCUAGCUACUUAUGCGUUUGCGGAUCCUCCGGUACCUGGAUUAUGGUACCUGCCAACACGUCGCAACCGUCGGGCAUGGUAUCUUGACAAGCUUGUGAAACAUAAGAUCUCACAGAUCAUAGAGGCGCGACUCGCUAGCGGCGUCUACGAAGAUGACCUGCUCGGGCAGAUGCUGCAGCUGCAGCUGCAAACAUGUAGCAGCGGCAGCACCGAGACCCUGAGCACCGAGGAGAUGGUUGGCGAGUGCAGGACUUUCUUCGCGGCUGGGUACGAAACCAGUGCCAGCCUCAUUACCUGGGCGAUGUUCCUGCUCGCCAGCUACCCACGGUGGCAGGAGAUGGUCAGGGAGGAGGUCGUCCGGGAAUAUCCUGCUCACCGGUUACCCAUAGGUGACGCCCUCGGCAAGUUGAAGCUG
rnacentral:rRNA from 1 species